CUCCUCCAUUGACGAACACCACUGAGACCACACUUUUAAAUUUUAUUUUAUUUUUAAAGAAGAAGAAGAAAAAGACGAAGAAGAAGUGCAACCAGGAAUUGCAACCAACCUCAUCCGAUGGAUAGAUAAAUAUAUUCGUAAUCAGAUCUGGACAAUUCAAUCAACCGAGGACAGACGCUACGACAGUCGACAAAGGCUGGUUUGCUUCACGAGACUAAGCUGCUUUCAGUACUCAGUUCCUCAGACGUAGAAGAAGAAGAAGCCAUGAUCAUAACAUCCUACCAGUAGUUGCGGC